AAUAGAUACCCCGGUAGUCCACGCCGUAAACGAUGAGUGCUAAGUGUUAGGGGGUUUCCGCCCCUUAGUGCUGCAGCUAACGCAUUAAGCACUCCGCCUGGGGAGUACGGUCGCAAGACUGAAACUCAAAGGAAUUGACGGGGGCCCGCACAAGCGGUGGAGCAUGUGGUUUAAUUCGAAGCAACGCGAAGAACCUUACCAGGUCUUGACAUCCCGUUGACCGCUAUGGAGACAUAGUUUUCCCUUCGGGGACAGUGGUGACAGGUGGUGCAUGGUUGUCGUCAGCUCGUGUCGUGAGAUGUUGGGUUAAGUCCCGCAACGAGCGCAACCCUUGAUCUUAGUUGCCAUCAUUUAGUUGGGCACUCUAAGGUGACUGCCGGUGACAAACCGGAGGAAGGUGGGGAUGACGUCAAAUCAUCAUGCCCCUUAUGACCUGGGCUACACACGUGCUACAAUGGACGGUACAAACGGUUGCCAACCCGCGAGGGGGAGCUAAUCCGAUAAAACCGUUCUCAGUUCGGAUUGUAGGCUGCAACUCGCCUACA
rnacentral:rRNA from 1 species